UCUUCUUAUAAGGGCGUCGCAGAUGUGACUGCUAUGUCACAUUUUCAUCAGUAGGUGGCAGAGAGGAGAGAGGCUAUGUUUAUGCUCAGAGUUCUAACUUGUGACCAUUGGAAUGAUUAGUGGCUUAACACU